GUUUUUAUAUAGGGUUAAGUCCUCAUCUAGUGGCUGUCUACCAAACAGCCACUAGAGGGACGUCCGACUUCUUAGACAACUUUUAGUCACGCUAUGCAUGAGGACCUCCAGCGUCGCCGGAAUCCCCAUAGGAAAGCAUUGAAUAAUGCUUUCCUGUUGGGAGGUGUAAUGUGUGCGGCCAUUGCCACGCGUGUGCAUUAGGUCUUCCCCCGCCGGAGCGUGUGCAGAG